GACGUAGGGUGCGAGCGUUGUCCGGAUUUAUUGGGCGUAAAGAGCUCGUAGGCGGCUCGUCGCGUCAGCUGUGAAAACCUGCAGCUCAACUGUGGGCUUGCGGUCGAUACGGGCAUCACUGGAGUUCGGCAGGGGAGACUGGAAUUCCUGGUGUAGCGGUGAAAUGCGCAGAUAUCAGGAGGAACACCGGUGGCGAAGGCGGUUCUCUGGGCAUGUCCUGACGCUGAGGAGCGAAAGUGUGGGGAGCGAACAGG
rnacentral:rRNA from 1 species